rnacentral:lncRNA from 1 species
AUGCUCUCACGAGGGAGUUACCGUCUACGCCUACAAUCACACACCGAAUUCUUCCAGAACCGGUGGGUGGUUCGAUCGCCCAGAAUAAUCUACCAGGGCAGCGCGAUCGUGAGAAACUUUGUUUCCGGGGCCGGCGAUCCCCGGUCGGACGCGGAGCCGGGCACGAAGCGCCCCGGGCCGCGGGAAGCCUCCCUGACGCCAAGUGACAGCAGCUCCGCGCGGGGUCGCCAACAGUCCCGAUCCCAGAAGUUGUGCGGGCCGCGCUCGCCUCCCGGUCCUGCCUGCGCGGGGCCGGCGAUCCACGCGGUUCUUACUGGAGGCGCGCCCGGCCUCCCCGGUCCCCGCUCCGGGACCACCGCACAGGCCUGCCCCACCCGCCCGACCCGGGGAGGGGGCGAGCCGGAGGUGCCGGCGGCCGCGAGGCCAGGCCGCGCAAGGGACCCGGCCCCCAGCCCCGGCUCCGGCACCGGCGCGCCCCGCCCCGGCUGCCCCGCAACUCCGCGAGCCGCCCAAGUUGGCGGCCUCCGCCCGGGCCACAGCCCCCGAGCCCCGACCCCCGGGCCCCGGCCCCUGGCCCCUGCUUACCUCGCGCGCCGCCCGCCGAGGCCGGGGCAACAGCGCGGGUCCCGGGCGGCUGCCGCCCUGCGCCCGCCCAGGCGCCGCUCUUUGUCUGCGCCGCUCGCUCCUCCCGCCGCUCGGCCGACGCUCCGGCCGGGCGGACCCCGCGGGCCCGGCCGACCCCGCCGCCGAGCCCCGCGCCCGCCGGCCCGCUCGGCUCCGGCCUCGCUCCCGCCGCGGCGCCCCCGCCCCUCCCGGCUGCGCCCGCCGCGCGCCCUUCCUCCCCCUCCUCGUCCUCCUCCGCUCCGCCCAGUGACGCCGCCGGGGCCGCCCAGGCCCGCGCGCCCGCCGCCCGGGACCCACCUGGGCGCGCACGGCGGCCCGGCUCGGGCGGCGCCGGGACUGGCUCGAGGCUCAAACGCGGGCGCCGCCCGGCCCAGAGGACCCUGCGCUGGGCCGGGCCGGGCCGUGCCGGGCGCCGAGGGGAGGGGAGGCCCGGCUCCGACCCUGCGCGCCCGGGAGCGAAUAGGAAGACGGGAGAGGCGAGAACAGCAGCAACCCGGCCUCGAAGGACCGACGGGUGGUCGGUCCAUCCCCUUUUUGUUUGAUUUUCUUAUCAGGACGCCCUGGGGCUUGGCCACCGCCCCCUCUCCCGGAAGCCUUCCCACGACACCCUCGGCGGAGCAGGCCUGCGGUCCAUCAGAAAAGUGA